UGGCAACCAAAAAGUCUCCCAGCUACUGGCAAUGCCAGGGGAUUAGUGGCUCACACCCUGACCCUCACUGGAUGGACCUGCCUGGCCCAAGGAAAUGAAGAGCUGUUGCCAGGACCGCCCAGCCAAAAAAAUAUGAAUAACAUGCCUCGCUCUGCUGCCGAACUCCCAAAUCUCAGCGCCUCCAGGGAGGGCAGAGAGACGGGCCACGGCCCAGGCCCUCCCAUGUUUGUCCUCGGCCGGCUUCCCCCCAGAGUGUGGGAAGUCCCUGGCUGUGGGCGCACCCACAUAAAAUGUCCUGGCUCCCAUGUCCAUAAAUUGUCUCCAUCCAAGGGGUGGAGAGGCAGGGAGUGAUCCGGAGAGGGCACGGGGCUCCAGAUCAGCCUUGCAACCCACUGGCUGUGUGACUCUGGGCCUCCAGGUCAAGGUGAAGACCGCUGAAAGCCUUAGACUGAAAAGGCUGAUGUUUUCCUUGCAGAUCCAGAUGCCAAGUUGGGUCAUUAUCUCUCACUACACUCUCGGCACCACGAGUCCUCUUCAAAGGCCUGACAUUGACUGCCCCUACGGUCCUGAAAUUUAAGUAAUAGGUGCCCUUGAUGGGGCCUGGCACUUCUUCAUCAGCCCCAGUUUUAACUUCAGGAAUGACUGGAUCGAAUGAAUUGGCAAACAUGUACUGAGUAACUAGUAACUACAAAUAAACAUGCUAGAGGCAAGGAAGGGGCUGGCAAAGACUGUGAAACAGCCCCUACUGUGAGUGAGGGCAGAGGAAACUGUGGGAUUCGAGUGCUCUCUUGCUUUUACUAUAUCCUGAUUGUCAAUUGUCAAUUCCCAGGUGGUAUCCCCUAGACUGGGGCUGUCUAGGUGGCCACAUUUUCUAGCUGGGUAGCUCAGCCAGGACAAGAUUUCCUGAGAGAGGGGUUGCCAGGCCAAGAAAUUUACUUCUGCAAAUGAUAACAGACAGCCAGUACAGAAGGUAUGAGAGCGUCUGGGAGUGUGUCCCAUAAUCUGGGAAGAACAUCCUUUGUGACAGAGUGACCCAGCAUCAGAAAAAGCUAAUGAGAGAUGUGUAGUUGUUCACUGCUGUCUAAUUACUACAAUCUUGGUGGUUAAAGCAACAUACAUUUUUUAAUCUCAUGGUUUCUAUGGGUUAAGAAUCUAGGCUUAGGGAAUAUAUAAUUUCCUACGAUAAAGAUUUUUAGGGUGCAUGAAUCCCCUGGAAGUGCAAAAUAGUACGUGGGAGAGCAUUUGUGCAAUUUCUUAGAACCCAAUAGUUUUCAAACGAUUCUUCCAAGGGUCCAGGUGACAAAUAGGAGUCUCUGGCCUCAGGCUGGAUGGAGGUGGAAGGGUGGGAAAGUGUGUCCUGUGAAGCUCCUUGAAGCCUCUUUUACACCUCUUCCCUUGGGCCCCUGUCCCCGAAUCAUGGGAGGAGAGUGGCUUCGCGCAGCCCCAUCCCCCGGGCCCCCUCCAAUUCCUGGCCCAUUCUACUCUCGGCUCUAUUGUUCACACUGUGGUGUGGAGUUGGGUUGCCUGCAGCUCCCCCCAGAGCAGUGCUCUGACUACAGCCUGGAAUCCCUGCUAAGACCCUGCCCAGUACCUUCCCCACUGGGACUGUGCUGCCCCUUGAGACUCCCCAGACAGGAGGCUGCCCCACUUCCUGCUGCUGUCACUUGCUCUUACCAUUAACUGGGAACCCAGACUCCUGGCUUUGAGGGCCCCCAACUUGUGGGGGUGACCCACAAGUAGAUAACUGCUGUCCUGGACACCUGCGGACAGUCCUGGUUUAAGCUUGUAUCUGGGAGUGAUUGUUGAGAGUCAGUUUUGUUCUCAAAAGUAUCCCUGUUGGUAAGACAUUUAAUUGGCCCUUUGCCUAAAGGGGCUCAGACAGUAAAGAAUCUGCCUGCAAUGCAGGAGACUAGGAUUCCAUCCCUGGGUCAGGAAGAUCUCCUGGAGAAGGGAAUGCCUACCCACUCUAGUAUUCUUGCCUGGGGAAUCCCCAUGGACAGAGGAGCCUGGAAGGCUACAGUUCAUGGGAUCACAAAGAAUCAGACAUGAUUGAAAGACUAACACACACUUUUGCUCAAAGGCAGAAGGGACUCCAGGCUUCCAGCAGGCAGGAUGGCUGGGACAGCCUUCCUGACGCUGUGUGAAGACCCCACACCUGGGAUGUUGCCAUCCCUCAAGGUUCAGGUGCCCCAGCAUCACCUCCCGCAUCAUUUAUCCUCAGCGAGGAGCCUUCCCAGGCUGCUCCCUAAGAUCUCUUUGAGAGCAGUGGUGAAAUCUGCAGACAGGGCAGCCUUCCUCCCCUCCUCACCCUGAAAAACCCCAGUUCCUCACCUCUCAUUUUUACCCUUCACCAGUUCCUCAUCCUUUCUGCUUCCUACCAUCCCACACCACAUGCUCUCCACUUCAUGUAGCUAGCUCCUUCCAGUAGUCAUGCGUGGAUGUGAGAGUUGGACCAUACAGAAGGCUGAACACUGAAGAACUGAUGCUUCUGAAUUGUGGUGUUUGAGAACACUCUUAAGAGUCCCCUGGACUGCAAAGAGAUAAAACCAGUCAGUCCUAAAGGAAAUCAGGCCUGAAUAUUCAUUGGAAGGACUGAUGCUGAAGCAUCAGCAUGCAAAGAGCCAGUUCACUGGAAAAGACCUUGAUGCUGAGGAAGAUUGAGGGCAGGAGGAGAAGGGGAUGUCAGAGGAUGAGAUGGUUGGAUGGCAUCACCCAGCUCAAUGGAUGUGAGUUUCAGCAAGCUCCAGGAGAUGGUGAAGGACAGGGAAGCUUGGCGUGCUGCAGUCCAUGGGGUUGCAAAGAGUCGGACACGACUAAGGAUCUGAACAACAACAAAGCUAGCACCUAUAUGAAGUAGGAGGUGCUCCAGGAAUGACUCUUUUUGAAAAGUCAUCUUUGAGUGAAUGAAGUGUUGGCAAAAUUAUGCUAAAUCUGCCAACGCAUCGCCCUGGGCAUGGGCCCUGCAGAGCUGGGCCUCUAGGCGUGGACAACCCUGGGUAACACCCUCUCCAGAAGGUUAGCACCGAGGGUGGUGGAUCCCACUGAAACCUGCCCUGGGGGAUGCAGGCAGGAGGGCCGCAAGCCAGAGGGAAGGGGCCCUUCUUCUGUCCCCAGAGCGCUGGCUGACACAGGACCCUCCCCAGAGCCUGUCCUUUUCAGCCAAAC
ensembl:lincRNA